AUUGAACGCUGGCGGCAUGCUUUACACAUGCAAGUCGAACGGCAGCGCGGGCUUCGGCCUGGCGGCGAGUGGCGAACGGGUGAGUAAUACAUCGGAACGUGCCCAGUAGUGGGGGAUAGCUCGGCGAAAGCCGGAUUAAUACCGCAUACGACCUGAGGGUGAAAGCGGGGGAUCUUCGGACCUCGCGCUAUUGGAGCGGCCGAUGGCAGAUUAGCUAGUUGGUGGGGUAAAGGCCUACCAAGGCGACGAUCUGUAGCUGGUCUGAGAGGACGACCAGCCACACUGGGACUGAGACACGGCCCAGACUCCUACGGGAGGCAGCAGUGGGAAUUUUGGACAAUGGGCGAAAGCCUGAUCCAGCAAUGCCGCGUGUGUGAUGAAGGCCUUCGGGUUGUAAAGCACUUUUGGCGGGAACGAAAAGGACUGUGCCAAUACCACGGUUCGAUGACGGUACCCGCAGAAUAAGCACCGGCUAACUACGUG
rnacentral:rRNA from 1 species